rnacentral:snRNA from 1 species
GUGCUCAUUUGGGCAGCACUUAUACCAAAAUUAGAAAGACGCAGAGAAGACCAGCAUGGCCCCAGUGCGAGCACGAUGCCCAGACUGGUGAAGAGUUCCACAUUUUC